GACGAACGCUGGCGGCGUGCUUAACACAUGCAAGUCGAACGGAAAGGCCCUGCUUGCAGGGUACUCGAGUGGCGAACGGGUGAGUAACACGUGGGUGAUCUGCCCUUCACUUCGGGAUAAGCCUGGGAAACUGGGUCUAAUACCGGAUAUGACCUUCCAUGUAGUGUGGGGGGUGGAAAGAUUUAUCGGUGUGGGAUGAGCCCGCGGCCUAUCAGCUUGUUGGUGGGGUAAUGGCCUACCAAGGCGUCGACGGGUAGCCGGCCUGAGAGGGUGGACGGCCACAUUGGGACUGAGAUACGGCCCAGACUCCUACGGGAGGCAGCAGUGGGGAAUAUUGCACAAUGGGCGGAAGCCUUAUGCAGCGACGCCGCGUGGGGGAUGACGGCCUUCGGGUUGUAAACCUCUUUCGACAGGGACGAAGCUUCGGUGACGGUACCUGUAGAAGAAGCACCGGCUAACUACGUG
rnacentral:rRNA from 1 species